rnacentral:lncRNA from 14 species
CAGGAAGGCGCUGCUCUCCCAGUAUGGUGAAGCAGCACUGGGUUUUUUCAGACACCUCUUUUUACAGGACACAAUUUCACACCAGAAGCUGGAGCUAGCAGAAGUGGCGUGGAAAGUUUCAACCUGAAGACAGUGUGCUGGAAAACAGCCAACACCAGAUUUCCAAAGGGGUUAGAAAAGGCACUCUUUGAAUUUCCUCCCAGUUUCAGGUACAUCCUCCCAAAAAUCUGCUGAUGAGCUGAGCUCACCAGAGCCUCCCAAAAGCUUUACUUUAUGGCAACGGGCAGUUUUCCAAGGAAAUGCUGUGGUACGCUUCCCGCCUGAAGGCACAGGCACGCACACAAGCUCCCAGAGGCAAGCCAAGGUGUGAAGGCACAGCGCUGCACCAUCGCUGCCUUAACUGCCCAGCCAAAUUCUCUCCUUCUAGCCCAAAUGCUGAGCAGCUCAUCCCAGCUCCCUGCAGAGAAACUCACUAUGGGGCAAGGGCAGGCGGGUGGACAGUUACCAUAGAGGAGCUGACGCACUGUCAGCCCACACCCUUGCUUUCCUCACCUAAGGUUGCUUCUGUAACCAUACACACUCGCUCAGAGCCCCAAGGGCCCAGGGGAAAAGGAUGCUUGCAACAUGCUGGGCACAUUAUGAAACCCUCCCAGAAGUUUUGCAAGGUCCUUCAAUUGUUGGAGGCACUUGGAGAGGAGCCUUGUCAGUGGAGGAAAACUGAGCAACUCAAACUUCUCCAAAGAACUUAUGAGUGGUUCUGAGCAAUUCCUGGGGCAUGGCAUCAAGAAGCAGCAGGGCAGUACGCACUCUCCUGUGCCAGCACCCUGCCAUCUAAUGGCCAGCCUUCAGAUUCACAGGUGAAUCAAGUUUUACCUUUCUGCCUCCACCUUUCUAGAUCCUAGAGAUAGAAAAGUCUGUUUAAAGUACCUUAGGUCACAUCUUGCUAGGGCAGAUAUACUCCUGCUAGUUUAUUUUGGAGUGUUCUGUCAUACAUCUUAAUAAUAGGGUUUGUAUCUCACCUAAAAGUACCUUUUGUUAUAGUUACUCUGCCUUACUAUGUCAGCCUAAAUAAUUCCUUUCUUUGUCUGGCAAAUUCAAACCAUUUAAAUAUUUGCAGGCUUCAGCUGUAUCUCUCCACUCAGCCAUUAUUUAGCAUAAUUUUCCCUUUUGUAAAUGAAUUCCAGUGUUCUCCUCUCUGAUUCCUUCUGACAACAACCCCUCCAGCAAAGAUGCAUCCAGAGCUGGCCACAAUGUUCCCAUUCCAGUCACACCAAAAAUCACGAAAAGCAGGUCUGCUGCCUCAUUGCUUUGUUCCACGAUACAUUUGCACACACAAAGACUGAACAGAGCUUUUUCUGAGCCACUCUAACACCACAAACUUGCCAUACUUGUUGUCCACUGCCAUACCUACAUGUGUUUGUUUUUUCAGCCCUGCUGCCUUCCCAGGACAAUAUAUUAAUUUCAGGUUAUUAAAUGCAUUUGUUUGCAUUUGGCAGUUUGUUAAAGCUCUGAGCAACUGCUCAUGAAAUGAAAUGGUUUCAGGGUUCUGGCCUUCUUGAGCUUCAAACAGCAUACAAUUGGAAAUACUACAGUCAUCAGUCCUUCAAAAUGUGUUUUCCUGAGUCCUAAGACAGGUACAGAGUGUGUUUUGUAGCCAAAUCUUUAAUACAGUGAAUCCAAGCAGCCUCUGGUUUCUCAGCCCAAGUGACCCUUUUCUGUUUUACAGAAUCAAAAAGCCCUGCUGUCAUAGAAAUUAUUGAA